rnacentral:rRNA from 1 species
UGCCUCGUAAAUUGAGGCCUGUAUGAAUGGCUAAACGAGGUCUUAACUGUCUCUUGCAGGCGAUCGGUGAAAUUGAUCUCCCUGUGCAAAAGCAGGGAUAAACCCAUAAGACGAGAAGACCCUGUGGAACUUCAAAAUCAGCAACCACCCUUCAACACAUCCACACCCACUGGGUUCACGAACCUACAAGGCGCUGGUCUGCAUUUUUUGGUUGGGGCGACCUUGGAGAAAAACAGAUCCUCCAAAAAUUAGACCAUACCUCUAGACUGAGAGCGACCCCUCAACGUGCUAAUAGCACCCAGACCCAAUAUAAUUGAUCAAUGGACCAAGCUACCCCAGGGAUAACAGCGCAAUCUCCUCCGAGAGUCCGUAUCGACGAGGAGGUUUACGACCUCGAUGUUGGAUCAGGACAUCCUAGUGGUGCAGCCGCUACUAAGGGUUCGUUUGUUCAACGAUUAAAGU